rnacentral:lncRNA from 1 species
GUCUACAUAAGUUUUUUCAAUACUGAUUAUGUCGACAAGAAAAAAAGUAGAUAUUCUUCUACAUGGAGUAAGUCAGGUUAUUUUUUCUCUUCUUUUUCAAUUCUAUUACUUUAUCUUUUCUCUUUGAAGAUGAAAUUUGAAUUAAGUGAUGCAUUAGACAUUAUUGCCACGUAGAAUUUCUAUGAAUAGAAAGUUUUUGUUAUGUGGGCUUGCUUAUUUCAGAGGUUAGAGCAUUGCAAUGUGAUGGUAAUCAGUUCGAUUUCAAUAGCCGACUUUUUCUUCAUUUUUUUUUAUUUUUUCAAUUUAGAUAUCAUGUAAUAUUCCAAUCAAUAUAACAUAUUGGAGAUGUUCUUAGGUAAGUAUUAGAACGUGCCUUUAAUAACUGCAUCAUUGUUUCAAGAAUGUGAGAGCUCUCAAACACAUGAAAUAGUUCAAUGUGCUCUCGACGAUUAUUUUUGAGAUGUAGAUACUUUUCCUAUUCAAAUAAUUGAGGUUAUUUGAGGGGGCUAAUUUAUUUUUUAUUUUUGAAAAUUUAAACGUCUAAUCAAAGCGAAUGGACACCUUAGUUGGUAAUCAUACUUUGAUUGGAUGACAACCAUACUAUUCUAGUGUCUG